rnacentral:rRNA from 1 species
CCUACGGGUGGCUGCAGUGGGGAAUAUUGGACAAUGGGCGAAAGCCUGAUCCAGCCAUGCCGCGUGUGUGAAGAAGGCCUUCGGGUGGUAAAGCACUUUCAGUGGGGAAGAAAGCCUUGGGGCUAAUACCCUCGAGGAAGGACAUCACCCACAGAAGAAGCACCGGCUAACUCCGUGCCAGCAGCCGCGGUAAUACGGAGGGUGCGAGCGUUAAUCGGAAUUACUGGGCGUAAAGCGCGCGUAGGCGGUCUGAUAAGCCGGUUGUGAAAGCCCCGGGCUCAACCUGGGAACGGCAUCCGGAACUGUCAGGCUAGAGUGCAGGAGAGGAAGGUAGAAUUCCCGGUGUAGCGGUGAAAUGCGUAGAGAUCGGGAGGAAUACCAGUGGCGAAGGCGGCCUUCUGGACUGACACUGACGCUGAGGUGCGAAAGCGUGGGUAGCAAACAGGAUUAGAUACCCUAGUAGUC